UAGGUGUGUGACAGGCAAAUCCGUCACAUAAGCCGAAGACGUGAUGUGGAGCGAAAUUAAGUAGUGAAGUAUGUGAGCCAUGUGCCGAGAAAAGCCGCUAUUGUUUUAUAUGUGCCCGUACCGUAAACCGACACAGGUGGAUGAGGAGAGAAUCCUAAGGCCGACGGAAGAAGCAUUGUUAAGGAAUUCGGCAAAAUGACCCCGUAACUUCGGGAGAAGGGGUGCCCACUGAAUGGUGGGCCGCAGAGAAUAGGCUCAAGCAACUGUUUAGCAAAAACACAGGUCUAUGCGAAACCGAAAGGUGAAGUAUAUGGGCUGACGCCUGCCCGGUGCUGGAAGGUUAAGAGGAGAGGUUAGCGCAAGCGAAGCUUUGAAUUUAAGCCCCAGUAAACGGCGGCCGUAACAAUAACGGUCCUAAGGUAGCGAAAUUCCUUGUCGGGUAAGUUCCGACCCGCACGAAAGGCGUAAUGAUUUGAGCGCUGUCUCGACAAUGCAUCCGGUGAAAUUGAAGUACCAGUGAAGAUGCUGGUUACCCGCGCCAGGACGGAAAGACCCCAUGGAGCUUUACUCCAGUUUGAUACUGGGAUUCGGUACUGCACGUACAGGAUAGGUGGGAGACUGAGAACUAUGGACGCCAGUCUGUAGGGAGUCGCUGUUGGGAUACCACCCCUGUAGUACUGGGUUUCUAACCAUCUGCCGUGAUCCGGCAGUGGGACAAUGUCAGGCGGGGAGUUUGACUGGGGCGGUCGCCUCCGAAAGGGUAUCGGAGGCGCUCAAAGGUUCCCUCAGAAUGGUCGGAAACCAUUUGAAGAGUGCAAAGGCAGAAGGGAGCUUGACUGCGACACCGACGGGUGGAGCAGGUACGAAAGUAGGACUUAGUGAUCCGGUGGUAUAAAGUGGGAUUGCCAUCGCUCAACGGAUAAAAGCUACCCUGGGAUAACAGGCUUAUCACUCCCAAGAGUUCACAUCGACGGAGUGGUUUGGCACCUCGAUGUCGGCUCAUCGCAUCCUGGGGCUGUAGCAGGUCCCAAGGGUUGGGCUGUUCGCCCAUUAAAGCGGUACGCGAGCUGGGUUCAGAACGUCGUGAGACAGUUCGGUCCCUAUCCGGCGCGGGCGGAGGAUAUUUGAGAGGAGCUGUCCUUAGUACGAGAGGACCGGGAUGGACGGACCACUGGUGUAUCUGUUGUCGACCAACGGCAUGGCAGAGUAGCCAAGUCUGGAAGGGAUAAACGCUGAAGGCAUCUAAGCGUGAAGCCCCCCUCAAGAUGAGAUAUCCCUCCUUCGGGAGUAAGACCCCUUGAAGACUACAAGGUAGAUAGGGCAGAGGUGGAAGUGUGGCAACACAUGGAGCUGACUGUUACUAAUAGGUCGAGGGCUUGAUCA
rnacentral:rRNA from 1 species